rnacentral:piRNA from 1 species
UGACAAAUACUGCAGAAAGCCU